rnacentral:rRNA from 1 species
GAUGAACGCUAGCGGCAGGCUUAAUACAUGCAAGUCGAGGGGCAGCAUGAUUGUAGCAAUACAAUUGAUGGCGACCGGCAAACGGGUGCGGAACACGUACACAACCUUCCAAUAAGUGGGGAAUAGCCCAGAGAAAUUUGGAUUAAUACCCCGUAACAUAACGGUGUGGCAUCACAUUGUUAUUAUAGAUUUUUCGCUUAUUGAUGGGUGUGCGGCUGAUUAGAUAGUUGGCGGGGUAACGGCCCACCAAGUCUACGAUCAGUAGCUGAUGUGAGAGCAUGAUCAGCCACACGGGCACUGAGACACGGGCCCGACUCCUACGGGAGGCAGCAGUAAGGAAUAUUGGACAAUGGACGCAAGUCUGAUCCAGCCAUGCCGCGUGAAGGAUUAAGGUCCUCUGGAUUGUAAACUUCUUUUAUAAGGGACGAAAAAAGGCUUUUCUAAGUCGUCUGACGGUACCUUAUGAAUAAGCACCGGCUAACUCCGUGCCAGCCGCCGCAGUAAGAC